CUGCAGUUCAUCAGUUUAAUGGUUCCUCCAUAAAUGUGAGUCAUUAAUGGAAAUGAAAGAGAGGAAGGGCUGGCGAGGAAAGAGAGAGCUGCACACAGACACAAAGCUGCUGAGGAGAUACACAGACGAGGGGAGACAGAUAAAGCCAGACAGAGGGGUUGAUGGGAGUGAGAAGGCCAGAGAUAUUAGUAUGGCAAGGAAAGGCUUAGAAGUGGGUGGAACAGACUGAGAUAAGGUGGAAGGAACAGUAACAUGAAAAGAAUAAGAUGGGUUGUGCCACCCAGAGGAAUAUGUUAAAGUAAAUUUCUCUUGGUCAGGAAACCCAUUAAAACACUAUACUCUGCUGAUAGUCCCACACCCACUGCAUUCACAUCUAAAAGGAUAGCAACACUGCAGUGGAAAGAAGCCUUGUUCACUAUGUACACAACAAUUUAAGAUAUCGGUGUUCUCCAGGGUGUUGGGGCAGGGUUUUGUCAGGCAGCAAGAACUGUUUUUCUGUGCACAGCAAUGUCUCCUGUCUGUUAGAGAAGAAGAACUCUGGGUUCCCCUGGGCUGCUGCCACCUAGUUAGCUAUUGCUAGUUGAGUUAGGGCCACAUUGCUACUGCGCUCUCUGCACUAGAAGAGCCAAAUUUCUAAAUUCAGCUCAAAGUUACCAGAUGCUAAUUUUUGCCACCCAUGGUAACCUGCUGUAUACUGCUGCCUGGGGAUAGGUACUCUGUAACAAGCAGUACACUCAAUAAGGCUGGUACCACAUAGAGCUGAUUCUUGGCCUGCAGAAAAACACAGGCUGGCAAGCAGCCCCUCUGCUGGCAUCAGUAUCCUACCAACAGUGGUUCUGGGUGCAGACACACACAGCAGAUUUGGGCAAGGAAACACAAAAGUUUGCAUUUCAGAGAUGAUAUCUGGCACUUGUGCUUGCACCCAGGCUGACACAUGGUUGUGGGUGGACUUAAUUGAUUGCUGUAAAGUAAAAUUAUAAUUACUUGUGUUCCUACUUACUUGUAUUACAAGUGGCAGCAACUUCCCUGGGACACAUGGCUGCCUCGUAGAAGAGAAAAAAGAAGGUGGUUUAUUUGUAUUGGUUGUUAUGAGCUGAAGUGUUCCUCUUGGGUCUGAUUUACAAAGGGAGUUUUCCUGCCUGCACACAUUUUUCAGAUUAUUCACCAGAUGCACAGAUGGGUGUAGCAUUAUUUAUAACCCUCCUACUUAAAGAUCCAUCUGUAUUGGAGAUAUUGGUGGGUAGGGUAUGGAUAAGUACAGUGAAUUUUAAAAAUAGUCAACUAAAGAACAAGCUGUGUACUCCUAAAGCAAAGGGAUUAAAAGUAAUGUUCAUAUAGCAUUUGCUUGCAAAAUAUAUUCCUCUCCUGGGUACGCCCUUUCACCCCUGCAUGUUUUAGCCCUUACUGUCUUUGCUAUACUUAAGAAUGUAUUAGCCUUAUUUAUUUAUAUUAACAGUGUCAAAUGAAAAAAAGAAUGGUAAUUGGUGACAUUUGAUGCAAGAUCUUUAUUAUUCCAUACCAGACUCUUCUACCUUGCACAUCAUUUCUUCUACUUACUAUGUCAGAGGAAGGAGCCUGGUUUUACUCUGAUGUGAAUGUCUCCGUCAAUCAAUUUCUCACAGACGGAAAUUUUCAUUGAUUAAAAAACAUGGAAAGAAUGACACACAAUGUAACCUCCCAAUAUCCCUUGUGCUGUCAGAAUUCAUUUAUAGCUGUUAUGCCUGGCAGGAACUGAGUACACUGAAUGUUUGCUGACCCUCCUGUUAUACACAGAGUACAGAGUGCUCCUGCCAGAAGAUAUUUCCAGCCUGCAGUUAUCCAGCCAUUGUUGAACUACUAUAACCAGAUCACACUUCUCCAGCUGUGAAAAUAGGAGAAAUGAUACAUUUAUCUAAUAGGAAAAGACGACACUGUUCCCUGAUGCCUGCUGAUAUGAUGUGGAUCUUGCCACUGGGAGCGGAUGGAGCCCUGAGUCUUCCCACCCCCACAAACCCAACCACAUAUUCUGUGAUCUUCACUUGGUUCCCAGGCUGACUCGCACAGAGCCAGGAUAUAGGGUCUGAAAUAAACAGAACUUUGGAUCCCACCGCUGCUCUUUCAACUGACUGAUAACCUCCUGUCUGACGCAACAGUCUCUCUGCUGUCCAAGAACCUGUCGGUGCAAGAAAACGAUAUGUGUCUAUAUAAUCAUAGAAAAAUAGAAGCCUUAUAUUUAAAAGAAAAGUCAACUAUUUUACAUAUACUGAUUAUAGGUUUUCCUUUGUUUUACUGCUUUUUUGUGGUCUCAUGAACAUAUAAACCAUAAUGCAUUUCCCUGAUUUUACAUAUUCUGAAAUGCACAAUAUUUUCCUAUUUUCCUGGUCCCCUGAAAAACAUAAAAUGGGGGUUGUUUGUGAAAAUUCUCAUUUAUCCAAGUCAUGUAUAUGUAUAGUAAUAAGUCAAAUGAACUGGACUUGUUUUUCUUGAAGACUUUUCACCAAUCAUUCAACUGGCUUUCUCAAUUCAGAAUGACUUGUACAAAGAUCUUCCUGGAAUAAAUGUUGCUCCAAUCAGCAUAAUCUUCUUAUCACAACCAGCAUGGGGUCAGGGACCUUAUUACUGAUUAUAAUCAAUCAUUGAUUGCUUUUUUUGUUUUCACAUAUAUGUCUUCUUUAACACCUCUUUUGAACCAGUCACUCUCCCUGUCUAGAGUCUGGCAGUCUUCAAAUGUGUGUCCUUUUUUUUUUUUAGAUGUAGCUACACGCUGAGUCCUGACCAGAGGAGCUGACUCUUCUGUGCUGUGCCAUAAACUGAUGUAACUGUUGUUCGGUUACUCCCACAUACAAGUCAGAGCACUCCUCACUGCACUGUACUGCAUACACAAUGUUACUCUUCUUAUGCUUUGGGAUUGGGUCUUUUUAGUGAACACCAGUUGCUGCUUCAAUGUGUUGCUGGGUUUAAAGCUGAUAGGGGUCUGUGUUUAUUAAAACUCCUUCUAAGAUUUUCAGACACCCCAGCUACAUAUGGAAGGACCAAGUUCUUUCGUCUGUCAUGUUUUCCACCUCCACCAGUAGUUUAGGUGUUAUUGCUUCUCUUUCUACCGGUUUUAACAAAGGGCCAGUCUGGAUAUCCACAUGUCUUAAGGGCCCCUCUGAGAUGUUCCAACUUCUUCACCUUAGCCUCUGUGCUGGUGGGGAUCUUGUCUGCUCUGUAUUUUAAUGCCCCCAUUAAAAUGGGGGUUUUACUGCAUUUGGAAUAUCAACAAUUUAAGCAGCACAACCAAGGAAAAUACUGAAUUGUGUAGCUAUCAACAAUGUUGUUAACAAUCAACAGCAGCUGAAAGUGACAACUGUAAGAUAGGCCUAUUUUGUUUUUAAAGGGAAAGUAAUACUGAGUAACUGGUUUUAAACAAAAUAAAACAUCUGUAACAUA